rnacentral:rRNA from 1 species
AGAGUUUGAUCCUGGCUCAGGACGAACGCUGGCGGCGUGCUUAACACAUGCAAGUCGAACGAUGAACCAGGAGCUUGCUCUUGGGGAUUAGUGGCGAACGGGUGAGUAACACGUGAGUAACCUGCCCUGGACUCUGGGAUAACCCCGAGAAAUCGGAGCUAAUACCGGAUAGGACCUGGAACCGCAUGGUUUUGGGUGGAAAGUUUUUUCGGUCUGGGAUGGACUCGCGGCCUAUCAGCUUGUUGGUGAGGUAAUGGCUCACCAAGGCGUCGACGGGUAGCCGGCCUGAGAGGGUGACCGGCCACACUGGGACUGAGACACGGCCCANACUCCUACGGGAGGCAGCAGUGGGGAAUAUUGCACAAUGGGCGAAAGCCUGAUGCAGCAACGCCGCGUGAGGGAUGACGGCCUUCGGGUUGUAAACCUCUUUUAGUAGGGAAGAAGGGCUUCGGCUUGACGGUACCUGCAGAAAAAGCACCGGCUAACUACGUGCCAGCAGCCGCGGUAAUACGUAGGGUGCGAGCGUUGUCCGGAAUUAUUGGGCGUAAAGAGCUCGUANGCGGUUUGUCACGUCUGCUGUGAAAUCCCGAGGCUCAACCUCGGGCCUGCAGUGGGUACCGGCAGACUGGAAGUGCGGUAGGGGAGAUUGGAAUUCCUGGUGUAGCGGUGGAAUGCGCANAUAUCANGAGGA